rnacentral:ncRNA from 2 species
AAAUGGUCAAGUGACUGGUGGAAACAUCGAAAGAUGCGUAGGAUAACCUACAGGGAGCUUGAUUAUAUAUUUAGAAAUUGCCGACCGCCUGGGCACGUAUG